GAGAGAAAAUUGAAUAAAUCCAACUUAAUGGAAUUGGUCAAUUUUUAAUUGAAAAGCACUUCCUGUUAACCGCGCUUUUUGAAUUUGGCAGACAUAGCCACAAAACAUGCAGACGGGGAGUUACCCUCUACCUCUUUACUCAUCUAUCUGGUUGACUACGAUGAGAUGGCAGUGUAAAACCUGCGGAUUCAGAGCAACGACAAGGGUGAUCUUCUGACCCAUUACAGGCUACAGCACAGGACAUUUGAAACUGGAAAUUCGAUCAGUGCUGAAUUUCAGAGAAUAACCACUGUACAACUGGAACCCAAAUUUAUGUCUGGGUUGGACCUUCACACUCCCAAGCUACUGAAGCUGUUUCAUGCUAAAGGUGGAGCACUUGGACAAAGACUGUAGAUCAUAAUGGAGCCACUGGAGAACUCCACGUGCCCUAGGGUUGAGACGGCCAGAGAGGUUGUCCUUCGGUGCCUUAUAGAAUACCUUGGAGAGCAUGGGGAACAUCUCAUCAAAGAGUUCAGUGACAUCGAGAACUUGGAGGAACUUGAACAGCUUGUAGUGGCAAUAACUCACAAAGGACAUAGCCUCCACAAGCGACAGCCCAAAGGAAAUUGGAGUUGUCAUUGAGGGCAUGGAAGUCAUCAGAGGACUUGGAGAUAUUGCCAGGACUUGCUGUCUCCUCUUGGGCUUGACCUAUGCACUGAAUCUCGACUAUCCCAAGCAGUUGAAGUACACCUUUGAGGUAUUCCAAAAACUUUUCUUGGAACUGGAUGCAUCAAAGCUGUCAAAGAAAGUCCAGUCCCUCAAGAGCAAACUUCUGGCUUGAACUGAGACUAUGGUCGCACACUUUUGUGUGACCCACAAGGUUCAGCUUUAACAAAGCUUGAGAAUUGAAUGUUUGAAGGUGCCAAAUGUCAGUGAAAUUUCUGUUGUGGUCAGUUCACGGUAAAAUGUUUAUGUACAAAUUGUUCUUUUACAUGUUUUCUGUUGGGGCAAGUGCACUUUUCAUAGAUUUGUGCUUUUUCUUUGAGAUCAUAACUGAUAUAAUUUAAUGGCUCGCUGUGCUGAGGAAGCAAGCAUAGGAUUUUUCUUUUCGACAAGACAAUUCUUUCAGUUUAUACAAUGACCAUAAAUGGUCUCCUCUCUUAUUUGUCACAAGCAUUUAAUUUAUUUGUAAUUUUAGCCAGUGGAGUAUGCUCUUGAUUUGCAGGAGAAUCUCAGCUCCCAAUACAUGCCCUGCCCCUUCUACCUUGCAGCAUAUAUUGACCAAUAAGGAUAUUUCACUUGAGGUUAAGCUUAUCCAUUCAGAAUGAAUCAUUUCAAGAUGGGGAAUAUUUCAGACAAAACUAUUUUUUUUCGUUGUAGAGGAACCAAGAAUAGCAUUCAUUCUCCACAUUGAUUAUUUUGAGGAUUCCAUUAGGAACAUUGUGUAAAAAAACAAUAUCACAGCUGUUUAUUGGGUAUUAGCAAAUAUACCACCUGGAUUGCGCUCUAUACUUUGUGCAAUAAACUGGUCUAGUCUCUGCAAGGCUGUUGGUGCUAAAAGAUUUGGCUAUGAUAUUGUGUUAGAGCCUCUCAAAAGAUUUGUGUCUUAAAAAGAAGAGUUUUGUAUGUCUAGAGUUUUUGUUGCCAGUGAUGGAAAGAAUUUUAAAGGGACAGUAUGUUGUAUGGCAGCAGACAAUCUUGGUGCGCACUCUCUUGGUGGACUUAUUGAAAGCUUUACAGGUCCUUACGUUUGCAGGUUCUGCUUAGGACAUCGUUCUGAAUACC